UCGAAGCACUCGUGCACGCGUGACGGGAGGCGAACCCUGGUCACGUGAUCAUCGUGUAUGUCACGCGCUACGAGCACCGCACCGACGACGACGACCAUCCCGUCACCGUCAUCCACUACGUCAUCGAGGUCGAGGACAACAACGUGGUGCUGGAAGAGCCGACGCCCGCACAGCUGCAGGCGCGCCUCGACGAGGUCGUGCCCGGGUUCGGCUGCAAGCCGACGGUCUGCACCAGCGAGAAGAUGCUUGUCAUUUACGUCGAGCGUAACAGCUCCCUCGUCGUCGACCGCGAGCGUCUGCAGCUGGCGCUGCGCGACAUCUGGCUGAACGACAACCGCGC